GUCUUUGUGGCGCAAUCGGUUAGCGUGUUGGCUGUUAACUGAAAGCUUGGUGGUUCAAGCCCACCCAGCGGCG
rnacentral:tRNA from 1 species